CCUACGGGUGGCAGCAGUGAGGAAUAUUGGUCAAUGGGCGCGAGCCUGAACCAGCCAAGUCGCGUGAGGGAAGACGGUCCUAUGGAUUGUAAACCUCUUUUGUCGGGGAGCAAAAGACGCCACGUGUGGCGUUCCGAGAUUACCCGAAGAAAAAGCAUCGGCUAACUCCGUGCCAGCAGCCGCGGUAAUACGGAGGAUGCGAGCGUUAUCCGGAUUUAUUGGGUUUAAAGGGUGCGCAGGCGGAAGAUCAAGUCAGCGGUAAAAUUGAGGGGCUCAACCCCUUCGAGCCGUUGAAACUGGGUAUCUAGAGUGUGCGAGAGGUAUGCGGAAUGCGUGGUGUAGCGGUGAAAUGCAUAGAUAUCACGCAGAACCCCGAUUGCGAAGGCAGCAUACCGGCGCACAACUGACGCUCAUGCACGAAAGUGUGGGUAUCGAACAGGAUUAGAUACCCGGGUAGUC
rnacentral:rRNA from 1 species